rnacentral:rRNA from 2 species
CAGUAGGGAUCUUCCACAAUGGACGAAAGUCUGAUGGAGCAACGCCGCGUGAGUGAAGAAGGGUUUCGGCUCGUAAAACUCUGUUGUUAAAGAAGAACAUAUCUGAGAGUAACUGUUCAGGUAUUGACGGUAUUUAACCAGAAAGCCACGGCUAACUACGUGCCAGCAGCCGCGGUAAUACGUAGGUGGCAAGCGUUGUCCGGAUUUAUUGGGCGUAAAGCGAGCGCAGGCGGUUUUUUAAGUCUGAUGUGAAAGCCUUCGGCUCAACCGAAGAAGUGCAUCGGAAACUGGGAAACUUGAGUGCAGAAGAGGACAGUGGAACUCCAUGUGUAGCGGUGAAAUGCGUAGAUAUAUGGAAGAACACCAGUGGCGAAGGCGGCUGUCUGGUCUGUAACUGACGCUGAGGCUCGAAAGUAUGGGUAGCAAACAGGAUUAGAUACCCUGGUAGUCCAUACCGUAAACGAUGAAUGCUAAGUGUUGGAGGGUUUCCGCCCUUCAGUGCUGCAGCUAACGCAUUAAGCAUUCCGCCUGGGGAGUACGGCCGCAAGGCUGAAACUCAAAGGAAUUGACGGGGGCCCGCACAAGCGGUGGAGCAUGUGGUUUAAUUCGAAGCUACGCGAAGAACCUUACCAGGUCUUGACAUACUAUGCAAAUCUAAGAGAUUAGACGUUCCCUUCGGGGACAUGGAUACAGGUGGUGCAUGGUUGUCGUCAGCUCGUGUCGUGAGAUGUUGGGUUAAGUCCCGCAACGAGCGCAACCCUUAUUAUCAGUUGCCAGCAUUAAGUUGGGCACUUCUGGUGAGACUGCCCGGUGACAAACCGAGAAG